rnacentral:rRNA from 1 species
GUAUAGGGUGUGAUGCCUGCCCGGUGCUGGAAGGUUAAUUGAUGGUGUCAUCGCAAGAGAAGCACCUGAUCGAAGCCCCAGUAAACGGCGGCCGUAACUAUAACGGUCCUAAGGUAGCGAAAUUCCUUGUCGGGUAAGUUCCGACCUGCACGAAUGGCAUAAUGAUGGCCAGGCUGUCUCCACCCGAGACUCAGUGAAAUUGAAAUCGCCGUGAAGAUGCGGUGUACCCGCGGCUAGACGGAAAGACCCCGUGAACCUUUACUAUAGCUUGACACUGAACAUUGAAUUUUGAUGUGUAGGAUAGGUGGGAGCCUUUGAAGCAGUGACGCCAGUCAUUGUGGAGGCGACCUUGAAAUACCACCCUUUAACGUUUGAUGUUCUAACGAAGAUGACGAAACGUGGUCUCGGACAGUGUCUGGUGGGUAGUUUGACUGGGGCGGUCUCCUCCCAAAGCGUAACGGAGGAGCACGAAGGUUUGCUAAUCACGGUCGGACAUCGUGAGGUUAGUGCAAUGGUAUAAGCAAGCUUAACUGCGAGACAGACAAGUCGAGCAGGUACGAAAGUAGGUCAUAGUGAUCCGGUGGUUCUGAAUGGAAGGGCCAUCGCUCAACGGAUAAAAGGUACUCCGGGGAUAACAGGCUGAUACCGCCCAAGAGUUCAUAUCGACGGCGGUGUUUGGCACCUCGAUGUCGGCUCAUCACAUCCUGGGGCUGAAGUAGGUCCCAAGGGUAUGGCUGUUCGCCAUUUAAAGUGGUACGCGAGCUGGGUUUAGAACGUCGUGAGACAGUUCGGUCCCUAUCUGCCGUGGGCGUUGGAUGAUUGAUUGGGGCUGCUCCUAGUACGAGAGGACCGGAGUGGACGCAUCACUGGUGUUCCAGUUGUCUCGCCAGAGGCAUUGCUGGGUAGCUAAAUGCGGAAGAGAUAAGUGCUGAAAGCAUCUAAGCACGAAACUUGCCAAGAGAUGAGUCAUCCCUGACUUUAAGUCAGUAAGGGUUGUUGUAGACUACGACGUAGAUAGGUCAGGUGUGUAAGUGUAGUGAUACAUUGAGCUAACAGAUACUAAUUGCCCGAGAGGCUUAACUAU